rnacentral:rRNA from 1 species
GACGAACGCUGGCGGCGUGCUUAACACAUGCAAGUCGAACGAUGAAGCCGGAGCUUGCUCUGGUGAAUUAGUGGCGAACGGGUGGGUAACACGUGAGUAACCUGCCCUUGACUCUGGGAUAACUGCGGGAAACUGUAGCUAAUACCGGAUACGACCCUCGGAGGCAUCUCCUGGGGGUGGAAAGAAUUUCGGUCAAGGAUGGACUCGCGGCCUAUCAGCUAGUUGGUGAGGUAAAGGCUCACCAAGGCGACGACGGGUAGCCGGCCUGAGAGGGUGACCGGCCACACUGGGACUGGGACACGGCCCAGACUCCUACGGGAGGCAGCAGUGGGGAAUAUUGCACAAUGGGCGCAAGCCUGAUGCAGCAACGCCGCGUGAGGGAUGACGGCCUUCGGGUUGUAAACCUCUUCUAGCAGGGAAGAAGCGAAAGUGACGGUACCUGCAGAAAAAGCGCCGGCUAACUACGUGCCAGCCGCCGCCGUAA